AAGGUUUUAAGUUAAAGAAACUUUUAACCUUCAAAGUUAAAAUUAAAGUAAUCUAGCUUUAAACCUU
rnacentral:tRNA from 1 species